rnacentral:tRNA from 1 species
GGGGGCGUGGCGAAAUUGGUAGACGCACUGGAUUUAGGUUCCAGCGCCGCAAGGUGUAAGAGUUCGAGUCUCUUCGUCCCCACCA